rnacentral:miRNA from 1 species
CAGGAUGUUCGACUUGUUGU